rnacentral:rRNA from 1 species
AGUCGAGGGGUAGAACACUUCGGUGUUUGAGACCGGCGCACGGGUGCGUAACGCGUAUGCAAUCUACCUUUUACAGGGGAAUAGCCCAGAGAAAUUUGGAUUAAUGCCCCAUGGUAUAAUUGAAUGGCAUCAUUUAAUUAUUAAAGUUCCAACGGUAAAAGAUGAGCAUGCGUCCCAUUAGUUAGUUGGUAAGGUAACGGCUUACCAAGACGAUGAUGGGUAGGGGUCCUGAGAGGGAGAUCCCCCACACUGGUACUGAGACACGGACCAGACUCCUACGGGAGGCAGCAGUGAGGAAUAUUGGACAAUGGGCGCAAGCCUGAUCCAGCCAUGCCGCGUGCAGGAAGAAGCAUCUAUGGUGUGUAAACUGCUUUUGUACGGGAAGAAACAGCAGUUCGUGAACUGCCUUGACGGUACCGUAAGAAUAAGGAUCGGCUAACUCCGUGCCAGCAGCCGCGGUAAUACGGAGGAUCCAAGCGUUAUCCGGAAUCAUUGGGUUUAAAGGGUCCGUAGGCGGUUUAAUAAGUCAGUGGUGAAAUCUGGUCGCUCAACGAUCAAACGGCCAUUGAUACUGUUAGACUUGAAUUACAAGGAAGUAACUAGAAUAUGUAGUGUAGCGGUGAAAUGCUUAGAUAUUACAUGGAAUACCAAUUGCGAAGGCAGGUUACUACUUGUGGAUUGACGCUGAUGGACGAAAGCG